CUACGGGAGGCACCAGUGAGGAAUUUUGCGCAAUGGGGGCAACCCUGACGCAGCAACGCCGCGUGAGUGAAGAAGGCCUUUGGGUCGUAAAGCUCUGUCAAUGGGGAAGAAGUUACUUGGUAUUAAUAGUGCCUUGUAUUGACGGUACCCAUGAAGGAAGCACCGGCUAACUCCGUGCCAGCAGCCGCGGUAAUACGGGGGGUGCAAGCGUUAUUCGGAAUUAUUGGGCGUAAAGGGCACGCAGGCGGUCCUGUCAGUCAGAUGUGAAAGCCCAGGGCACAACCCUGGACGUGCAUUUGAACAGCAGGACUUGAGUACGGGAGAGGAAAGGGGAAUUACUGGUGUAGAGGUGAAAUUCGUAGAUAUCAGGAGGAACACCGGUGGCGAAGGCGCCUUUCUGGACCGAUACUGACGCUGAGGUGCGAAGGCGUGGGUAGCGAACGGGAUUAGAUACCCGGGUAGUC
rnacentral:rRNA from 1 species